rnacentral:rRNA from 1 species
AUACGUAGGUGGCAAGCGUUGUCCGGAUUUACUGGGCGUAAAGAGUAUGUAGGCGGAUAUUUAAGUCAGGGGUGAAAUCCCGGGGCUCAACCUCGGAACUGCCUUUGAUACUGGGUGUCUAGAGUGUGGAAGAGGUAAGUGGAAUUCCGAGUGUAGAGGUGAAAUUCGUAGAUAUUAGGAAGAACACCAGUGGCGAAGGCGACUUACUGGACUGAAACUGACGCUGAGGCUCGAAAGCGUGGGGAGC